UAUAAAUUUAACCUCCUCUGAAGAACUUUCAGGUUUCUUAAAAAUUUGUUUAUUCUGAAGGGCAGAUUACAGAAAAGAGAGAGAUAAAUCUUCCAUCUGGUGAUUCCCUCUGAAGAUUUCUGCAAUGGCCCAGUGCUGGUUCAGGCCAAAGCAAGGAGCUUCAUCUGGGCGUCCAGCUGGACAGCAGACCUCAGCUGCAUAGCCUCAGGGCAGAAAGUGUUCCAGAAACCCCGUGGAUGGAUGGACAGCUUGUUGAAAGAAGUCAGGUAUUUUUCCUUGCGACUUAUCAUGAUGAUCCCAACUGCUUUCUCAAGGUGGAAUGCAAUUUUUACAAGGAUGGGGAUACUGUGAUUGCUGCAUUUUUCCCCAUUUACACAUAUCUCACUGAUACAUUCAUGAAUGUUUUCAAAAAGAAUCUCAUAUGUGAAGGGUAAGUUCUCUUGGUUUUAAUCAUUUUUCCUUGAUUUACAUAUUAGCUUUUUAUAUGGUCUGCAGAUGGUUGGAAAAAUGUGCUCUGUGUCCCUGCCUUGUCCAUCUUUUGUCCCUCCUAGAAACUGCUGAUAAUUAAUUUGGGGAAUGAUGAAGACAUUUUCUUUUUUCCUGGCACCUGAAUGGUUCAGGAAAAGGUUGUCUCAUCAGAGGAGGAGAGGAGAGUCUCGUUGGUGUUCUUCCUGUCCCCCCGUCCAUGUUCAUCAGCUCAGGGACCUAUUGUGCUCAUCAGAAGACUUUCAUAACCAGUGCACUGAAAUGAAUGAGAAACCUGGGUUACCAUGAGCUCUUCCACAUGUGCUCACAAACUUUUCUGCUAUGUACUAGAUUUGGGGCCAUGAGAAUGCUUUAUUUCUCCUACAGUCCUGAAGAAGAAAGAAUACAUAAGAAAGUAAAAUUUUACCAGU